rnacentral:rRNA from 1 species
CGUAGGGUGCAGGCGUUAAUCGGAAUUACUGGGCGUAAAGCGUGCGCAGGCGGUUUGCUAAGACAGGUGUGAAAUCCCCGAGCUUAACUUGGGAAUUGCGCUUGUAACUGGCAAGCUAGAGUGUGGCAGAGGGGGGUGGAAUUCCACGUGUAGCAGUGAAAUGCGUAGAUAUGUGGAGGAACACCGAUGGCGAAGGCAGCCCCCUGGGUUAACACUGACGCUCAUGCACGAAAGCGUGGGGAGCAAACAGGA